rnacentral:lncRNA from 1 species
GGCACCAUGUAGCAAAUCAUCCAAUGGUUCAGGUGGAUUGGGAUCAUCAUCAUAUGGCUUAAAGUGCCACUUUGUUCAUCACCAAGUCAAAGCAGAAGCAAAAGCCCUCUCUCCACUACUGCCAUUACGGAUGGCCUUACCAACAUUACCCACCAAAGUAGAACAAACAUCUGGUGACGUUGGGAGAAUCAGAAACCCAAUUACUGCAUUCACAAAUUCAAAUUGGACUCCUCUUGAUGGUAUUGCCGUCUCUUUAUCUUCUGGUUCUUUUGAGGAAAAGAACCCCCCAAAAGAAGACGUGGAUGCUUAUGUACAAAGGGGCCUCUAUGUUAUCCAUUCAAGGAAAAGAUUACAGGUGUUUCUGGUAUUCUGUCAGGAGUAGAUGCUUUUACUUAACAAUCCGCAAUAUAUAACUCGGCUUUGGUUGCAGAACUAAGGUAAUGUUAGAAGUGGAGACAAAUUUUAAUUUUACUUCUUAG